rnacentral:rRNA from 1 species
GUGUAAGCCUCCUCGGUAAUACCGGGAGCCCAAGUGAUGGCCGGUCUUAUUGGGCCUAAAGCGUCCGUAGCUGGCCACGCAAGUCCAUCGGGAAAUCCACCUGCCCAACAGGUGGGCGCCCGGUAGAAACUGCGUGGCUUGGGACCGGAAGGCGCGACGGGUACGUCCGGGGUAGGAGUGAAAUCCCGUAAUCCUGGACGGACCGCCGAUGGCGAAAGCACGUCGCGAGAACGGAUCCGACAGUGAGGGACGAAAGCCAGGGUCUCGAACCGGAUUAGAUAACCCCGUAGUCC